CGCCUACCUCAAAGAGAAAUGCAGGAUUCGUCCAAAAAGCUUCGCUGUAGGUUUCGCUGUAGUGUAGGUCAAAUUCUAUCAACUCUUCCACCUGUAGAUAUUUGAAGAAAACACAACCAUAAGAUCAGCUGUUUGUUUUUCAAGUCAUGAGACUAAACUGUUUGUUCCCGUUAACGCAUUUGUAUUGAAGUGAACAGUUUGAAGGAUCUAUGCUUUGUGCUCAUACGUCCGGGUCGGAUAGUGAACACUUGGUCAAAAUGACAGGUCGGCAGAGUGGCUUGUAAAGUAGUUAAUAUCGAUGAAAGAUUGUAUGGCUUAGUAUAUACUGCAUGACACAGUUUCUGAAUUUUCCGCUUCAAAUUUGGUGCGAUUUAUAUUUUAAACGUUCGGUAACUACAUGGGGAUAACCAUUUAAUAUAUCGUAUGAUGUAAAGUUUCUGCAUUAUGUGCGAUAAAAUAUAUACCUGUGAUGACUU